CCCUUAGAUGUUCUGGGCCGCACGCGCGCUACACUGAUGCAUUCAACGAGCCUAUCCUUGACCGACAGGUCCGGGUAAUCUUUGAAUCUGCAUCGUGACGGGGAUAGAUUAUUGCAAUUAUUAAUCUUCAACGAGGAAUUCCUAGUAAGCGCAAGUCAGCAGCUUGCGUUGAUUACGUCCCUGCCCUUUGUACACACCGCCCGUCGCUACUACCGAUUGAAUGGUUUAGUGAGAAUUUUGGACUGGAACUCCCUUGCUCAGCAAUGGGCGAGGGGGAGUCCGGGAAGCUAUUCUAACUGUAUCAUUUAGAGGAAGUAAAAGUCGUAACA
rnacentral:rRNA from 1 species